rnacentral:rRNA from 1 species
CGGCAUGCCUAAGACAUGCAAGUCGAACGAAGUGGUUUUAUGAAGAAAUGAGUGCUUGCACGAAUUUCGGAUUAAAGUCACCACUUAGUGGCAGACGGGUGAGUAACACGUGGGUAACCUACCCUGGAGACUGGGAUAACUACUGGAAACGGUAGCUAAUACCGGAUGAUUCAUUCUUAGAUAACUAGGAAUGCUAAAAGGGAGCGUUUGCUUCGCUUCAGGAUGGGCUUGCGGUGUAUUAGCUAGUUGGUGGGGUAAUGGCCUACCAAGGCGACGAUGCAUAUCCGAGCUGAGAGGCUGAUCGGACACACUGGGACUGAGACACGGCCCAGACUCCUACGGGAGACAGCAGUUAGGAAUAUUCGUCAAUGGGGGAAACCCUGAACGAGCAAUGCCGCGUGAGCGAUGAAGGUCCUCUGGAUUGUAAAGCUCUGUUGUAAAGGAAGAAACCUUACCAUAGGGAAUGAUGGUAAGCUGACGGUACUUUACCAGAAAGCCCCGGCUAACUACGUG